GCCCCCGGGCCGCGCACCCCCUUGUUUGUUGUCAAUGGGGCCAGGCUCCUCUUAGCCAACGGGCGCGCGAAGCGGCGCGUGGGGUGAUGGCACGUCAUCGAUCAGCAGCUCAGAUUAGCAUAGGUGCGUCUACCCGCCUGGGAUUAAAGGGUUAACGUUCACAGGUCCAGUCGCGACCGCCGGCCGCACAAGCGCAAGCUGUGAGCACAUUACGUCAUCUUCCCAGCUGCCUCUCCUCUACCCACGCCCUGCCCUGUCCUGCCCAGUCCCGCCUGGGAGAGCCUGCGGAAUGAAAUUUAGCCCCCAACGCUGUGGGACAGAGUCAAGAUCUUCCAAGUCAUGCUUUUCCCACCCCUCUUUAAAAGGCAGAAAUGCUGGCUUGGCAGGGCCGCAGACUGUCCAAGAGCAGUUAACACUACAACUUGGGUGCCUCUGCGCCUGCUGUGACCUCGCGCUGGUGCUACUGGUCCUUAAUCCCAGGUACCUUAACACUGAAGGCCUUUAAACAAUAUCAGUACCCAGUGCAAGCACCUCGCUGUCCCAUCUUGCAGCUGGCCACGUGUACACAAAGGCAAACUUCCAAGAACUCAUCCUAAGGAAUAAAAGUGCCCAAAGGAUGCUGAAAUAAAUGUGUAUGUUCCGAGAGGUUCACCACAA